UCUUACAGAUGAGCAAAGAAAGUGGUUUCUUGAGAUGGAAUCUACUCCUGGUGAAAACUGUUGAAAU
rnacentral:pre_miRNA from 1 species